AAACGUAGGAGGCGAGCGUUAUCCGGAUUUACUGGGCGUAAAGGGCAAGUAGGCGGUGGCUCAAGUUGGGCGUGACAUCUCCCGGCUCAACUGGGAGGGGUCGUUCAAAACUGGGUCACUAGAGGGCAGGAGAGGGAAGCGGAAUUCCUAGUGUAGCGGUGGAAUGCUCAGAUAUUAGGAAGAACACCAGUGGCGAAGGCGGCUUCCUGGCCUGCACCUGACGCUGAGAGGCGAAAGCUAGGGGAGCGAACGGGCUUAGAUACCCCGGUAGUCCUAGCUGUAAACGUUGGAUACUGGGUAUUGGGGGUGACAAUGCCCUCAGUGCCGAAGCGAACGCGUUAAGUAUCCCGCCUGGGGACUACGGCCGCAAGGUUAAA
rnacentral:rRNA from 1 species